rnacentral:ncRNA from 1 species
AAUAUAUUUUAUUUUAGUUUAAAGUUUUAUUAUUAUUUUGUUUUACAUGUAAAUUUUUGUGGGAAUUGAUUAUUAUCUAAAAGAUAAAAUUUAGUUAUUUAUUCGCAGUAAUUAAUUUUAAUUAUAAAAGAAAUUUUGAAUUAGUAAUAAUAUAUAAUAUUGGUAAAAUUUGUGCCAGCUACCGCGGUUAUACAAAUAAUGUAAAUAAAAUUUUUUAGUAUUAGUUAAAUUGAUUAUUUUAAUUUAAAUAUAAAUUUAUUAGGUGAAAUUUUUAAAUUUAUUUAAAAUUAAUUUUAUAAAAAUUUAAGCUAUAAAAUUUUUAUAAUAAACUAGGAUUAGAUACCCUAUUAUUAAAAGUAAAUAAAAAUAUAUUAAAGUAGUAUUAGUUAUAUUCUUAAAAUUUAAAAAAUUUGGCGGUGUUUUAGUCUAUUUAGAGGAACCUGUUCUGUAAUUGAUAAUCCACGUUGGACCUUACUUAAAUUUGUUUUCAAUUUGUAUAUCGUUGUCAUCAGAAUAUAUUAUAAGAUAAAUAAUUUUCUUAAUAUUAUAAUAAAUAAUAUGUCAAAUCAAGGUGCAGUUUAUGUUUAAGUAGAAAUGGGUUACAAUAAAUUUAUUUAAAUGGAUAAUUUGUUUGAAAAAAUAAUUUGAAGGUGGAUUUAAUAGUAAUUUAAAAUAGAUAAUUUAUUUGAUUAUAGCUCUAAAACAUGCACACAUCGCCCGUCGCUCUCAAUUUUAAGAUGAGAUAAGUCGUAACAUAGUAGAUGUACUGGAAAGUGUAUCUAGAUUGA